UGGGGAAUUUUGGACAAUGGGCGAAAGCCUGAUCCAGCAAUGCCGCGUGUGUGAAGAAGGCCUUCGGGUUGUAAAGCACUUUUGUCCGGAAAGAAAUCCUUGGCUCUAAUACAGUCGGGGGAUGACGGUACCGGAAGAAUAAGCACCGGCUAACUACGUGCCAGCAGCCGCGGUAAUACGUAGGGUGCAAGCGUUAAUCGGAAUUACUGGGCGUAAAGCGUGCGCAGGCGGUUUGCUAAGACCGAUGUGAAAUCCCCGGGCUCAACCUGGGAACUGCAUUGGUGACUGGCAGGCUAGAGUAUGGCAGAGGGGGGUAGAAUUCCACGUGUAGCAGUGAAAUGCGUAGAGAUGUGGAGGAAUACCGAUGGCGAAGGCAGCCCCCUGGGCCAAUACUGACGCUCAUGCACGAAAGCGUGGGGAGCAAACAGGAUUAGAUACACUGGUAGUCCACGCCUAAACGAUGUCAACUAGUUGUUGGGGAUUCAUUCCUUAGUAACGUAGCUAACGCGUGAAGUUGACCGCCUGGGGAGUACGGUCGCAAGAUUAAAACUUAAAUGAAUUGACGGGGUCAUAGCUGUUUCCU
rnacentral:rRNA from 1 species